rnacentral:misc_RNA from 1 species
GAGAGCAAGCACUCGUAUCGGUAUAUGCAUGCAUGUGUGGGUAUAUGCAACCCGAUAUACACACGCACAGGAACGCACACUAAGAUAGCACCCAUACCCCCUUCCCUCCCCCCAUAUAUACACAUAAGCAGAGCGACACCGAAGCACAGCACACCAGCGCAUGCCCUCACCGAUUCCCCAUCACCCUCCUUUUUUCCAUCGCGCUUUCUCGCUGGCCUCACGUCAGGCGUUUUUUUUUUGCCUACUGCAGCUGGCCUGAAGCACAGGAAGAGUACAAGGCAGGCGGGACACACGGGUGAGAUCGACAUCGGGAGAGCGAGAGCGCAGUUGUGUGUGUGUGUGUACGUGUGUGGUCGCCGUAGAGUGCAAGGCGUGUGCCUCUACAUCUAUAGUAGACAAGCCGUGCCACAUAGGAGAGACGGUGCAUUGGUUUUGUGGCUUAGACGCUCUCAUAAUCUUACUCAGCGACGAGGAGGCAACUGGACAGCCGUAAUGGGGUUCGCAUCCGCGUAUGACACCUGGGUGACACCCAUGGCCCGCGAGGCUGCAAUCUUCGGCCCUAUGGUGUGCUUCUGGUUCUCGCUUCAGUACAUCCUCACACGGAUGCUGCCGUCGUGCAUGCCGAACUGGAAGCGGCUGACGAGGGCUCAACAAGAUGACAUGAUUGUGCGGUGCUGCAGCAUUGCCAACGGCUGCAUCAUGUCCGUGUCUGCCGUCCUGUUCUUUGUAAAUCUCAUCAAACACGGCGGUUUGGCAGCGAACGACCUGUACGCGACUGUGCCGUACUAUCGAUUUAGCCGGGUGACUAUCUCUGCCUACUUUGUAUGGGAUAUAUUCGUGUGCUUCUACUACAACUGGGCCUGGGCAUGGAAGCUACACGGCUUCUGCAGCUUCGUUGGCAGCUACACCCUCCUCUUUCCCUUCUCUGAAUACUACGCCGGGUACUACACUGGCUGCUUUGAACUGAGCAACGGCUUCCUGCACGCCUCUGUGAUGCUGCGUACCAUGUCGGCCAUCGCAGACCAGCGGACGCAGUGGUCCCUCAUCGAAACCCUCGACCACUGCGCUACCGUGUGCGAGUACAUCUUUGGCGGCCUCUACGCUCUUAUCCGCGUUCUUGGCGGCACGUACGUCACCGGCAGCUGGAUGUACAACCUGCUGAGCGCAUGGCGGUCCGACAUCGUCCACGGUGGCGAGCCUGGGUACACACCAAAGCUGCACAAUGAGGUGGCGGUGGGGAUCGCUUUGCUCGCCCUGUCCGUUUUGCAACUGCUGCAAUACUUCUGGUUUGGCGAGAUCUUCAAGCGUGCCAUGGGUGGCAGGGGUGCUGGCGCAGAGGACAAGAAAGGGGCAGCUUCUGGCGCCGCUGCUGCUGGCGAGUCGAAGGCUGUGGGCAAGAAGAGGAGCUGAUCCCGAGCCGGGGGGGGGGGCUUCCUGCUGCCUUCCCUCUGUUACUUUUUCCCCUGCUUAUGUGCACUGAACUUGCUUAAUGGGAGCGUAUUUGUGUUUAGAAUUUCGUGUGCGCCCUGCCGCUGCGUUAGCCUUGCUGAUAUGUGAGAAGACACGCGUGAAACAGAGGUCCAUGCGCUUCCUUCGCUGUGUUUCGUAUGCGCCACCGCUCUGAUCGACCGAGGCCUACAAGGGGUCUAAAGAGAAGAUGCUGAACGUGAUGAGGGGGGAGGGGAGGAGCACAGGGCGGAAAAGGCUUCAGAGGUUGCGCAUGGACAUAUGCAGAGGAAUGCGAGCGCGCAGGUGUGGAAGAACGAGGCACAUGAGCGGUGUGUCUGCCUGUAUGCUUGUUGUGCCGGGCGAGGAUGGCGCGCGACGGCACGUUUUGGCGCAAGGUGCACCUUCGUCCUUUAUGUCCCCACCUCCCUGUCGCUCCUCUUGACGGUUUCUCCCUUUCCUUCCUAUCGCACAGCCUCGCUGCUUUUCUUUCCGGUGCUCCCCCUUCCCCCAACCUCAGCGACUGUCGAGGACGGUGCAGGCGGACCUUUUGUGUGUGUGGGUGUGUUGGCAGGGAAGGAGAAGGGGAAGGAGGGGCUUGCUGGGCGGACGGCUGGCGUCUCUGUCGCUUGCACUGCCUCCUCCCACCGAUGCUUCCGGUUUUCGCAGUACGUGCGUGUCCUUGCCUCAUGUCAGCGCUGUGCUUCGGAGGGACGAGCCAGGCGCUAAUUUACACAUGAACAUGUUUGCUUAUACACGCAUACCGGUGCGUCAGUGGCACUAGAGAGGGAGAGAGAGGCACACCAGCGCAAGAAGGACAGAGACACCAACUCUGAAGCCCGCCAACUGACCGAAUAGACGGAUGACAGUCUCGAACGCCCUCAGCUCGGGCGACG